UUUGUUUUUUCUUUUCUCUCAGGUGGGUAUCCUGUACCCCUAAUUCUACUAUCGGACACUUGUCCAUUUUUACCUCUCGUCUCACUUUUUAUUUUCUUCGAGGUUCCGGGCACUUGCCCCUUUUUAUUUCCUCGUAUUCACUUUUUUCAGAGCACUCACCCUCUUGGAAUAAUGUAGCAAGUGGUAGUAACCAAAAUAUCUCGAGCAUUUAUUUCACGGGGAAUAACAUGAA
rnacentral:lncRNA from 1 species